CUUUGGCAGUGUAGGCUGGUGCCAAUUCCUGAUGGCAAAUGUAUUCAGCAUUUCCAGAAGCAGAAUAAAACAAGAAGUGCUCUAAAAUUUCCUUGGUGAUGGCUACGUUGACUGUGGACUUCAGAAAACAUACCGGACUAAAACCAGCAGAUGACGUGGCAGCCCAAAUCAUGGCCGACUGUGGAAACUUCACAAUAAAUUCAAGCAAUGUGGAUUCUGUCCCUCUUCCUCCAGACUACCGGGGACUAUGUGCAUAGUCUAGUUAUUUUUCUCCACAGUCCAGUGUUCUUUCUGUAUCCUGUGAUCGAGCUAUGCGCCUCAACUUCCUUCCGGACUUUGGACUGCUUCUUUCGAUCCUCGACCACCGUCGCCUCUCUACAGCACCCAACUUUUUGCUUGCCCACGGACUGUCUUCUUGCCUUGCCCCUCUGAACUUUUGAAGGAUUCACCCAACACGCACAAACAACACCCUCUGAUAACGGUUUUAUAAAGAAAUACAAUCAUAUGUGCUUACGGACUGUAUCCCUGCAGACUGUUUUGAUCUAUAUUGAUAUAUAAUGUAUAUAUCGUGUUUUUUAUGUUGAUUUAAUAAUUAAAAAUAAAUAAAUGUUUGAUUUA